rnacentral:ncRNA from 2 species
GCGGGGGACCCACCUCGCAGGACCAGGCCUCCGGGCCUUGGGGUGAAGCCGCAGCACGCGGCCGGGCAUCUCUCGCCCGAACCCGACAGCUAACUCCGC